CGGCUACGAGGACGACGCUGGCGGCGUGCUUAACACAUGCAAGUCGAGCGGGGAUAUUGAGGAAGCUUGCUUCUGAGAUAUUCUAGCGGCGGACGGGUGAGUAACGCGUGAGCAACCUUUCUCUCAGUGGGGAAUAACACAGGGAAACUUGUACUAAUACCGCAUGGGACCACGACCUGGCAUCUGGUUGGGGUGAAAGAUUUAUCGCUGAGAGGUGGGCUCGCGUCCGAUUAGGUAGUUGGUGAGGUAACGGCCCCACCAAGCCGACGAUCGGUAGCCGACCUGAGAGGGUGAUCGGCCACAUUGGGACUGAGACACGGCCCAAACUCCUACGGGAGGCAGCAGUGGGGAAUAUUGGGCAAUGGGGGAAACCCUGACCCAGCAACGCCGCGUGGAGGAAGAAGGUUUUCGGAUCGUAAACUCCUGUCCUCAGGGAAGAGCAGAAGACGGUACCUGAGGAGGAAGCCCCGGCUAACUACGUG
rnacentral:rRNA from 1 species